GACGAACGCUGGCGGCGUGCUUAACACAUGCAAGUCGAACGGAAAGGCCUGCUUUCCCUUGUGGAUUGCGGGUACUCGAGUGGCGAACGGGUGAGUAACACGUGAGUGAUCUGCCCCCAACUUGGGUAUAAGCCUGGGAAACUGGGUCUAAUUCCCGAUAGGACUGCAGGGUGGUGCCUGUGGUGGAAAACGAUUUUCUAGUGGUUGGGGAUGAGCUCGCGGCCUAUCAGCUUGUUGGUGGGGUAAUGGCCUACCAAGGCGGCGACGGGUAGCCGGCCUGAGAGGGUGGACGGCCACGUUGGGACUGAGAUACGGCCCAGACUCCUACGGGAGGCAGCAGUGGGGAAUAUAGCACAAUGGGCGGAAGCCUGAUGCAGCGACGCCGCGUGGGGAUGACGGCCUUCGGGUUGUAAACUCCUUUCGACCGCGAGGAAGCCACCUGGUUGGAAGGGUGGUGACGGUAGUGGUAGAAGAAGCACCGGCUAACUACGUG
rnacentral:rRNA from 1 species